AUUGAACGCUGGCGGCGUGCUUUACACAUGCAAGUCGGACGGCAGCAUUGCUUUCGGGCAGAUGGCGAGUGGCGAACGGGUGAGUAAUACAUCGGAACAUACCAUAUAGAAUGGGAUAACUCAUCGAAAGAUGAGCUAAUACCGUAUAAUCUCUGAGGAGGAAAGCUGGGGACUAGCAAUGGCCUGGCGCUAGAUGAAUGGCCGAUGGUCGAUUAGCUAGUUGGUGGGUAAAGGCUUACCAAGGCGAUGAUCGAUAGCUGUUCUGAGAGGAAGAUCAGCCACACUGGGACAGAGACACGGCCCAGACUCCUACGGGAGGCAGCAGUGGGAAUUUUGGACAAUGGGGCAACCCUGAUCCAGCAACGCCGCGUGAAUGAAGAAGGCCUUAGGGUUGUAAAGUU
rnacentral:rRNA from 1 species